GGCUCCUUAGCUCAACGGAUAGAGUAGUGCUCUCCGAAGGCAUUGAUCGGGGUUCGAUUCCCCGAGGAGUCA
rnacentral:tRNA from 1 species